ACGCAACUGCACCUCCACAAACAGUUUCACAUAAAACGGCACAUAAAAUGUCGCAUCUUUCGCAAAAAUACCGUUUUGCUAAGACCCCUCCUCGAUCAACGCGCAAAAUCCGCAAAUCCGUCCUCAGAUUUGCGAACGGAUUGCACCAGUACAAUCAGCACGACGGAGACAACAAACCUACGAUUUUGGUUCACCUCGACCGGUCACGGAUUCGCAGCGAAACCCGUUCUCCCUCCGAAAGGCAAAAUGACGCAUAAAUACAUAUAAUACGUGUAUUUUCAGACUUUCUCG
rnacentral:lncRNA from 1 species